GAAAAAGUCGUUCACUUUUGAUGGAAGAUGGUGCCCUUACCUGGUUGAUUGGCAACUGCAAGAGUACCUCAACUUCAACACAACGCCAUAUGGAGCUUGCUCUCUGCCAUUUAGCACAAAAUGAGGACAAUGCAAGAGAUUUCAUAUCCAGUGGAGGGCUGAACGAGAUUGUACGAAUAUCAGUCGAAUCCAGUAGGGAAGAUAUCCGCAACUUAGCAAAGAAGGCGUUGAGAGUGAAUUCAAAAUUUCAAAAUGAGAUGCAUGCUGAAUAGUAACGUGUAUAGAAUCACAACCUUUGUAGCAUAUUGUUUUGUAGCCAUAUGUGUUUUUUUAUCAACUGAAAUUGGAAGUCUGGACUUGAAAGAAUGAAGGCUCUGGCCCUUGGUUUUGCGUGAUGCAUG